UAAGAGCUACACGCACGGGCUACGGAGGGGGAGAGCGCAUGAGGAAGUUGUGUUGUUGUUGUGAUGACGGAGUGGAUGUAGCGGCCGGAGAAUUGUCUGUACUGUAACUUUGUUACUCAGUGUUAGAUUAAUAAAUCCUCAAAGAAAGUAAAGCGGACUUUUAUUCACCAACCCCGGGACGAAGGGAAUUAACCCCAAAGUUUACUUAGCCGACAGUACUUUGGCCCUGGAGCAGACAGCAACGCCUCCCCCUGCAAACUCCGACUACGGUCAGAGACGGACCGGCAGGAAAGCGUGCAGCCGGGCGCAGCUAAAUGACACGUAAUGUAUUAUGGCCCGUGCAAAGUCAUGCCACCAGUCUGAGGACAUCACUGGGAAUGGCACAUGGGACACGUGGCUUUCAACUCCAGCGAGGUGGGAAAGCAUUUCUUUAUGUAUAUUUUGUUCUGUCUGCAUAAUUGUAAAAGACUUCUUCCCGCAUUCGUACAACAGCAUUCCAUAUCGUGUGACUGUCGAUGGAUGUAAUAAUUUGGCCUUCUUUUUUUCUUCCACCACACGGCACGGGUGGGCUUAACCGCGGGCAAUCGUGGCAAAGACCCAAGUCGACUGGACCACAGCGGAAAAUGAUCCUUCCAGAGAAGAAGUUAUUUACUUCUACAACGAAUGGAAGAGUUACAACUUCCAGAUGACAGCUCGCCGCUCAUCCUUCUGGGCAACUUGAACAUCCGACAGAACUUAUGUGACCUACUGCGUUUAUUUUCUCCUUUAGCUCUCACUAACUCUAACUUGCCCCAGCACCUGUUGUGAUUUAUUCUAGCGCUUCCACAAUUGAAUUUUGCUUGGUAUUUCAUCUAACUUGCCCCAGCACCUGUUGUGAUUUAUUCUAGCGCUUCCACAAUUGAAUUUUGCUUGUUAUUUUAUCUAACUUGCCCCAGCACCUGUUGUGAUUAAUUCUCUCUCACGGUGUCAAGUGUGUACCUUGAUCUUUUUUUUGCUCAUUGCAGCCCUUCUCUGCAAGGAGUGCUAACAAUGCAUGGUGCUGUUCAUUAAGCAACUGGGUAAAGAGCUUGUAAUGCCACAUAUGAAAAAGCUCAUAAGCUCAUUUAUAAUAAAAUAAUAUAUAUAAUCUUG